rnacentral:rRNA from 1 species
GACAGAGGUGCCGAGCGUUAGGCGGAAUCACUGGGCUUAAAGCGUGUGUAGGCGGACUUCUAAGUACCUUGUGAAAUCCCACGGCUCAACCGUGGAACUGCUUGGUAUACUGGUUGUCUUGAGCCACUUAGGGGCAGUCGGAACAGACGGUGGAGCGGUGAAAUGCGUUGAUAUCGGAAGGAACGCCGGUGGCGAAAGCGACGGACUGGAUCUCUUCUGACGCUGAGGCGCGAAAGCCAGGGGAGCAAACGGG